rnacentral:tRNA from 1 species
GGAUCCGUAGCUCAACUGGAUAGAGCGUUGCCCUCCGAAGGCAUAGGUUGCGAGUUCGAAUCUCGCCGGGUCCACCA